CCGGCUUUAGCUCAGUUGGCAGAGCGGAGGACUGUAGUUGUGUAUUGCUGUCAUCCUUAGGUCGCUGGUUCGAAUCCGGCAAGCCGGA
rnacentral:tRNA from 1 species